rnacentral:rRNA from 1 species
AUUGAACGCUGGCGGCAUGCCUUACACAUGCAAGUCGAACGGUAACAGGUCUUCGGAUGCUGACGAGUGGCGAACGGGUGAGUAAUACAUCGGAACGUGCCUAGUAGUGGGGGAUAACUACUCGAAAGAGUGGCUAAUACCGCAUGAGAUCUACGGAUGAAAGCAGGGGAUCGCAAGACCUUGUGCUACUAGAGCGGCCGAUGGCAGAUUAGGUAGUUGGUGAGGUAACGGUUCACCAAGGCGACGAUCAGUAGCUGGUCUGAGAGGAGGGCCAGCCACACUGGGACUGAGACACGGCCCAGACUCCUACGGGAGGCAGCAGUGGGGAAUCUUGCGCAAUGGGCGAAAGCCUGAUCCAGCAAUGCCGCGUGCAGGAAGAAGGCCUUCGGGUUGUAAACUGCUUUUGUACGGAGCGAAAAGGUCUCCUCUAAUACAGGGGGCUCACGACGGUACCGUAAGAAUAAGCACCGGCUAACUACGUGCCAGCCGCCGCCGUAA